CGUAACAAGGUCUCCGUAGGUGAACCUGCGGAGGGAUCAUUACACAAAUAUGAAGGCGGGCUGGAACCUCUCGGGGUUACAGCCUUGCUGAAUUAUUCACCCUUGUCUUUUGCGUACUUCUUGUUUCCUUGGUGGGUUCGCCCACCACUAGGACAAACAUAAACCUUUUGUAAUUGCAAUCAGCGUCAGUAACAAAUUAAUAAUUACAACUUUCAACAACGGAUCUCUUGGUUCUGGCAUCGAUGAAGAACGCAGCGAAAUGCGAUAAGUAGUGUGAAUUGCAGAAUUCAGUGAAUCAUCGAAUCUUUGAACGCAUAUUGCGCCCUUUGGUAUUCCAAAGGGCAUGCCUGUUCGAGCGUCAUUUGUACCCUCAAGCUUUGCUUGGUGUUGGGCGUCUUGUCUCUAGCUUUGCUGGAGACUCGCCUUAAAGUAAUUGGCAGCCGGCCUACUGGUUUCGGAGCGCAGCACAAGUCGCACUCUCUAUCAGCAAAGGUCUAGCAUCCAUUAAGCCUUUUUUUCAACUUUUGACCUCGGAUCAGGUAGGGAUACCCGCUGAACUUAAGCAUAUCA
rnacentral:rRNA from 1 species